rnacentral:rRNA from 1 species
CGGAUCAGAAUGCCGCAGUGAAUACGUUCCCGGGUCUUGUACACACCGCCCGUCACACCAUGGGAGUCGGAAAUGCCCGAAGUCUGUGACCCAACCUUAGGGAGGGAGCAGCCGAAGGCAGGUCGGAUGACUGGGGUGAAGUCGUAACAAGGUAGC